rnacentral:rRNA from 1 species
ACACGACUACAUUAGAUACCCCUGUAGUCCCAGCCCUAAACGAUGCGCGUUAGGUGUAUCGGUGACCACGAGUCACCGAGGUGCCGAAGGGAAACCGUGAAACGUGCCGCCUGGGAAGUACGGUCGCAAGGCUGAAACUUAAAGGAAUUGGCGGGGGAGCACCACAACAGGUAGAGCCUGCGGUUUAAUUGGACUCAACGCCGGGAAGCUCACCGGAUAGGACAGCAGAAUGAUUGCCGGGCUGAAGACCCUGCAUGACUAGCUG